CGGGGUGUAGCGCAGUUGGCUAGCGCGUACGCAUGGGGUGCGUGAGGUCGCAGGUUCAAGUCCUGUCACCCCGACCA
rnacentral:tRNA from 1 species